AUACGGAGGAUGCGAGCGUUAUCCGGAUUUAUUGGGUUUAAAGGGUGCGUAGGCGGGCUGUUAAGCGUGAGGUGAAAGCUCGGGGCUCAACCCCGGAACUGCCUCGCGAACUGGCGGGCUUUAAUGUCCGUGCCGUGGGAGGAAUGGGGGGUGGAGCGGUGAAAUGCAUAGAGAUCACACAGAACACCGAUUGCGAAGGCAUCUCACGAACGGAUGAUUGACGCUGAGGCACGAAAGCGUGGGGAUCAAACAGGAUUAGAUACCCUGGUAGUCCACGCCCUAAACGAUGAAUACUAGCUGUUGGGGCAACUCAGUAGCGCAGUUAACACAUUAAGUAUUCCGCCUGGGGAGUACGCACGCAAGUGUAAAACUUAAAGGAAUUGGCGGGG
rnacentral:rRNA from 1 species